AUAAUGAACAUCUACUAUGACAUCUCGUAUAUCACAUCUCGCGCACUUAUUAAAUGUGCUCCUGUCACUCUUUUAGUCUGUCAUUCCAUUUCUGUCCAUUUGUCACAAGACAUUGGUGCAGUAUAACAUUCUUGAUGUCUUCCAUGUGUCUCUGCCUUCUGUUCUGUAGCCUAGAGGGUAGGACUGGAAAUGAGAAAUAUUUAAGAAAGUAACAAAGGAACCAGAACUCUCUUUCAUUUGUUUACCAUGUGUUUCUGAUAUUCKUGAUUCUUCAUGUUUUAGCUGUUUUUAGCUAAAAUAUGAAAUAACCUAAAUUUUUGUUACUGACUUCUCUUCUAUUGYUUCUCAUCUACAGGAUGAYGGAGAUGUGGAAGACGACRUGACACUUCGUGAGAUUGCAGAGUGGGAGGAGAGCCAGCUUGAUGAGCAAGUCAACUUCAACAACUGCAAGAUUGACCCCGCCCCCUUUCAGCUGGUGGCGCACACUUUGCUGCAUAAGACUCACAAGCUUUUCUCCCUGCUGGGCCUCGACCACGCCUACGUCACCAGCACCGGCCGUCUCAUCGGGGUGGUUUCCCUCAAGGAGCUACGCAAAGCCAUCGAGGGCACUGUGACAGUAAAAGGCGCAAAGCUGCAUCCGCCUCUGGCCAGCUUCAGGGACAAUGGGACCAGCAGCAACAAGACGGAGGCGACGGAGCUCCAUAAGCUGUGGGACCGUCACAAGACCGUGUCGCUGCCAGGAGAACAACCCACGUCGGAGUCCAAUGAGUAGUCCCAGUGAGGGAAAGCCGAGGACAAAUAGGAAGAAGAGGUGCAGGUGGGGGAAGAGGAGGUGGAGGAUGCAUUGACAUCUAUAAUCUCCAAAUCUACAAACAUGUAGAAUUCCUCAGGGCUUCAAAUCAUUAUUUAAACACACCAUGUUCCAAAUUAUUAUCCAAAUUGGAUUAAAGUGCCAUAAAGAUUCAAUUUUUGUUGUGCUAUUAAAUUUAUAGAUGGUAUUGUGUGUCAGGGGUCUUUGAAUCACUAUAAUUAAUUUCAGAGACCUGGGUUGAUUAGUUUGUCUGGUGAGCUCAAUUAGAGGAAAUCUACUUAAGAAGGAUGUUCCACAUUAUUAAGCAGGUCACAGGUUUCAAACAAAAUGGGAAAGAGAAAGGAUCUCUCUGCUGACGAAAAUCAUCAGAUAGUGUAGUGCCAUAUGACAAGGUAUGGAAACAUUAGAUAUUUAACGAAAACUGAAGCAAUAUCAUCGUACUGUGAAGAGAUUUGUGGCUGAUUCAGAACAAAGAUGGGUUUGUGCAGAUAAAGGCAUAAUGAGGAAGGUUUCUGUUAGACAAAUUCAUCGGAUUAAGAGAGCAGCUGUUAAAAUGCCCUUACAAAGCAGCAAACAGUUAUUUGAAGUUGCUGGUGCCUCUCGAACCUCAAGGUGGAGGAUCCUCCAGAGGCUUGUGGUGCAUGAACAUACUAUUCGGCCACCCCUACCCAUUGCUCACAAGCAGAAACGGUUGCAGUGGGCCCAGCCAUACAUGAAAAUUAAUUUUCAAACAGACUUGUUCACUGAUGACCGCUGUGCAACCCUGGAUGGUUCAGAUGGAUACAGUACUGGAUGGGUGGUGGAUGGCCACCACAUCCCAACACGGCUUUGACGUCAGCAAGGAAGGUGGUAGAGUCAUUUUUUGGGCCGAAAUCAUGGGGAGAGAGCUGGUCGGCCCCUUUAGGGUCCCUGAAGGUGUGAAAAUGAACUCAGCAAAGUAUAUAGACUUUCUGACUGAUCACUUUCUUUCAUGAUUCAAAAAGAACUAUUUGCUACCUUCCGUAGCAAAAUCAUCUUCAUGCAUGACAAUGCACCAUCUCAUGCUGCAAGGAAUACCUCUGUGUGAUUGGCAGCUAUGGGCAUAAAAGGGAUCACAAUCCUGCUCUGACCUCAACCCUAUUGAGAGCCUCUGUAGUUUCCUCAAGCAGAAGAUAUGCAGGUGGGAUGCAGUUCAUAUCAAAACAGCAGCUCUGGGAAGGUAUUCUGACAUCCUGCAAAGAAAUUCAAGCAGAAUCUAUCCACAAACUCACAAGUUCAAUGGAUGCGAGAAUUGUGCAGGUGAUAUCAAAGAAGGGUUCCUAUGUUAACAUGUAACUCGAUCUGUUAAGAUGUUUUGCAUUGAAAUAGCUUUUGAUUUUAGUAUAUGUGACCACUUAAUGCUGCACAUUCAAAGAAGGACUGUUUGCAGUUCUUCAUAAUACAUUAAAUGUUUAGAAAAUCUGCCGUGCAUAAUAAUUUGGAACGGUGCAUUUUAAGUUUUUUAUUUUUGAAAAAUCUACUGUUCUCAUUGGAAGCUUUGUUCAGUAAAAUUUGAUUUGUACUGUAAUAGUUUAUGACUUGAAAAUUAUACUGACCAUCAUUUGCAUUGACCAUUUAGGAAAAUCUACGAAAAUAUCACUUGCAUAAUAAUUUGGAACACGGUGUAUUGUUAGACUACUGUUGGGCAUGAAUGUGUAACAGCACUGUGUUUUCUGAUUCCUGACAUGACAGAUAACACUCAAUACCUUCCAUGUCUGCCAUAGUUCCUUCUGUUCAUUAAGAGGAAAACAUUUCUUCCAGCUUCUCCAUCCUGUCCUAAACAUCCUAAACAUCYUUUAGGACCAGACAAAGAUUUUUGCCACCAUUCUAUUGCCUUAUAAAAACUCUCCCMGCCUCCUAAUGUCUUCAGUGGUUUUAAAUAGAUUUUAGCAUCUUUUCUUGUUUGGUUCUGCAGAAUAGGAAGUGUCUGCAGCGACAAAGCAUGGCUUUGCAUGACAGAAUGCAUGUGGCAUUUAUUUUAUAUGAUCAAAACGCACCAAAAGCAACACACAUGAUUGGCCGGAUGAAUGAUGUCUUGGAUUUGCCAUCCUGUGCCUGUAUUUUCUGCCAUUCUGCUGCGCCUCCCUCUUAUCCAGUAAUCUUUAUUCGUUACCUGAUUUAUAACCGGGUAUUGGGGUCUUUGUGGGCUCAGAAACUUACAGAUUAAUAUAUUUAAUAUCAUUCCUGUAAUCUGAAAUCAUGAUUUUGUGUCUUAACCAAUCUUCCUUGUUGACUCGUCUCUUUUUCUUUCUGGGGAGAUUUUUCAUGUUUCGUAUUUAUCAUUUUGUCGCUUUUUUGAAUGAUUUAAAAGUUAUUUUUGUAUAUUUAACAUGCUGUCUGAAACAUUUCUACAGUCGAGAUUUAUUUGUGAAAUGCGAAUACACUAACAGGGUGAUAGCUUGCGGCGCGUGUCUGAUGGCAAACUGAAGAACCAGAAUAAUGAAGUUAAAGGAAUGAACUUGCUCAUUCCACAAGUGCCUCCUUCUCUUUUAUCAGUGGGAAUAAAAGCGGUGCAGAACUGCUUCGCUCCUCAUAGACAUGUAGACCAGUCGCUUCUUGCACUUGUUCCGUAAUAUGUUAGUGGCUUGAUGGUGUUUCACGGCAGUGUGCARUUGCUACCAUGGYAAYCGUGGUGUCUGCUCACCCCAGGGGGAGCUGAAAGCACUCCUCUCAUUUGGUUCUGUUCAUUUGUUUGCGCCUUUUCAUCGAUUCUCAUUGUUCUGCCGGGUCCUUUCACCUCGCCGCAGAUAUCUCAUCUCAUCUGCUGYGGAGAGAGGUCGCUGGCUCUUUAUCAGCCUGCAUUAAUCACAGUAGAAGUUGUAAAUUUUCGUUUUAUUGGUGGAUCUGCUUGUGGGUAAUUGAUUUGUGCAAUAACAGUAAUUCAUCUCAUUUUCUAGACCUGUUUUAAUUGAUAUGAAUGCAAGAUAACCUUAUUUUUGUAAAGAAAUCUGAAAAGAGYAAAAAGAUUUAUGUAUACAAGAAGAAGUAGCGUGGUAAGGUCUUUGACUGUUUGUAGAGGAAGGUUUCCCAGAAGCCUCUGGAAAUUAAAAUUCACAUUGCAACAGUAAUCUGCACUUUUGGUGUCUCAGUUGGGCUUUUUGGAAACCUUAUCUGGAAGACUGUGGCGAAGCUGCUCCUCUCAUCCGAGCCUCCCGAGGCACACAGUCAGUUUUAUCGUGCUUCCUUCCAUCCUUCAGUCAGAGCGGCUUUGAUGAGCCCAGAUCUUUUUUCCACUCCUUAUGGGACUGUGCAUUACAGCAAGCCAAGGGGUCCAAACCAGAGCAAAAUUCCAGAGUUAUUUUUCACAUCGAAAAUUAAAACAUUGAUUUUUUUUUUUGUACAUCAUGAUGAAUAAAUAUGAUUUUAACAAACGAGUGUUUGUGUUGGAGUGUGUUUUCUGUCUGAGAGUCUUGGUCAUCCUGCAGCUGCGCUCCUGUCCUCUUGUCAUCUUUAAUUCCCCCUCCAGUGACAACUGGAACGCACCU